rnacentral:lncRNA from 1 species
CAUGAAUAGGAGAUUACAACUACGGGGCAGCUUACAAGUGGGUAAAAUGGAUUGCAAUUCAUGAAAGAUAUUAUUAAGACAAAUGAGAUAUGUAGGAUAAAUAAGCCAGAUAGGAUGUUCCCAGUUCCCACGUUAUGAGAGCAUUAGAUCAAGGAUUGAAAAAUAUACAGUAUACACAAGUAUAGUGUUACAAGGGUCACAGCGCAACGACGCACUAAAUGCCAGCUACGAAUUUUUUAACUCGAAACAUCAAGAACUGUGAUCUGCUAAUUCCCAAAUACCACAUAACUUUUAGGCAAAUGUUACUGUGAUGC